AGGAGGAAGAGGAGGAGAUGGAGGAGGAGGAAGAGGAGAGGAUGGAGGUCAGACGUGAGGAGAGGAAGAAGAAAAGUCUGUCGUCUCUGCAUCGGGUGUUUGACGGCGACAGCGACCAGGAUUCCUUCCUCGGCUUCGAGGACGCCGAGAUGGACGAGUGAUCAGCUGUGAUGUCACUGAUCCACAUCCUGUUUCUCUGUCACAGAAACAUGAUGAGUUUAUAUUUGUAAGAAGAGAAGAAGAUGCGAGUGAUUCUUCUUCUUCUACGUAACAACGUGACUCAGUCCUCCAGCAUCACAUCUGGAUUCUUCUUCUGCUGCUGAUGACAGAAACCUUCAAACAUACGAACGAUGUCGCUGUUUGUCGUCUUCAGAUGUGAGAUGAUGAGAGAAACUAAAAACAUCCUGCAGCAAAACUGAGACGACAAACCGACCAAUCAGAACACCAGUGUGACCUUGCAGGAGUUUUCAGGGGAAAGAAGACGAACAGACCAAAACGAUGGAGGAGAAACAAGACGCCACAUCAUGACCAGCUGAUGAUGAUGAUGAUGAUGACGCGUCUCUGCUGUCACUUCCUGUUUCCGCAGCUUGUUGUAUAAAGCAGCACAGAGUCCAGAGGUCGUCCAGAGGUCGUCCAGAGGUCGUCUAGAGGUCGUGAUGAGUAGCAGUUAAUAAAACACUAACAGACUGAUGCUGCAGAGCGAUUCUGCAACAUUUUCACAACAACAUUCAGAAUCAGACUGAAGUUGACCUUUGACCUCGCUGAGUUGUAGUUUUUUUUGUAAACAGACUUUGGUACUUUUUAUACGGGAACUGUUGAGAUAUUUUGUAGUAAAAUAAAGAAACCUUGUCGGGA